UCUCUUAUCAUUUGUUCCUCCUGCUGUCUGAUAAAUGAGAGAAGUUGCGGCUGUUGCCAUGAAAUUGAGAGAAGGAAACCAUGGGAGUCAUAGGGAAGGAGAGAUUCAGAGAUGUUAAUGGUGUAAUCAAGAGAUUCAUGGAGAUGAUGAAGAGAAAUUCACAGGGAAGAAUUAGGGCUCGAUGUUAAUCAACAGAAAUACGGGUUUGUGCUGUGAGUUUUCUGUUACAGAUAGAUUUCAGAAUCCGGUGACGUUGAUGAUUGAUUCAAGGAUUGUUAAAGCAUGGGUUAUCCUCAGAUUUAUAUAUGCUUUUGGUUCUGUUGCUGGUGAUAAAGAAAUUGUUUUUUUUAGAGUUUGAUUCUUAUGGUGUUGAAUUCAGAGAAGCACAAAGAAAGGGGAUCUGGUUAUGGAUUCUGUUGGUUCGAGUUUGUGUUGCAGAGUGGUGUUUCUGAGAUGGGUUUGAGUGGUUUACAGGCCAGGAUACUGGUGCUUGUGUUGAUAUUGCUGGUUCUUGAGUACAUAGAGGAUGCAGGAGCGGAUGAAUGAAGCUGAGACUCUCAAAUAAGGUUCUCAUAGAUAAAUUCCAGAAGAUGGUAGAGAAAUUGGUAACGGGUUCGUGUGAAUUUGAGAUUGUAGAGAAGAAAUUCAUGGUUUAGGGUUUCUAUUGCUGGCAAGCAGUGGUGGUCUUUGGUGAAGAUUAAAACAGAAGCAAAAAUGGGUUUGAGCAGAUGGAUUAUAGCCCAAACCAGGUGGGUUUUUGGUGAUUUGAUAAUGAGAACUGAUGCAUAUGAAAGUGAAGAAUUGCAGAUGGAAGUUGAACUGAAUGAAUGAAGGCUGUUUAGAUGAAUGUUAGGAGAACUGAUGUAACUGAGCAUUGAUAGGUGCAAUGGAGUCAUUAUGAGCAAAAGAUGGAAAAAUCGUCUAUUUGGAGCAUAAAAGGCAAAAAGAUUAAUUCACAUGCGAGUUACAUUUGGAGCCGGCAAGGUGGUGCAAGGAGGUGAAGAAUGAACUGUCAGUUCCCAUAACUGACAGUUGAGCACGAGAUCGAAUAGGCAGUCAGUUCUACGAAACUGACAGGCCAAAUGACAGUUGCAUAGCCCUUAUCCGAGUUCUGGGUGCUUGAAGCAAUUCUCAUCAUUACUUAAACCUAAAAGUGAGAGAAAUGUCUUCUCAAUCAUUUUUGUGCGGCUGUGUUUUCUGAGUGUCUGAAAGUUAGAGAAAAUCACAGAAAGCAGAUGAAGAUAUGCAGGGUUAAGGUGAAGAUUCUAAGAUGAAAUUGAUGAAUCAGAACGAGAAGAGAUGUUACUAAGCUUGAGAAGGAGAAUAGUUGGAGUUGAUAUCGGUGGGGAGAAAUCAGACAGAGAUUGGAAAUCGGGGUUUCAUAAGACCUGAGUUUGGUAACUAAAUGAAGAAUCCACGAAGUUUCAGAUAAUAGAUGGAUGGGUACUCAAGGAAUUGGGAGAAACAGUAGUGAUGUUGGUUGAAUUAACCAACCAAAUGAAGAAAUUAGUCGAUUAGGGUUUGUUUCUCUGGAACUGCUGAUGGUGGAUGUGAACUUGGAGUAUGGAAGAAGAUGAUGAAUCUGUUGAAUUUGUGUUGCCGUGGAGAGAAAUUGCAGAUGAAGUGUUGGUGGUUGUCAAGAAGAUGGUUUCAGUGGAUUCAAGUCACUACAGGAACUACAGAUAAUGGGUUGAGGCUUAGUUGGUGUUGAAUGGAACUGAAGUAGGAUGUGCAGUGGUGAUAUUGCAGUUGCAGGUAUGGAGGUGAUGCUCAGAUGGCAAUAGAGAAAGAAGAGGAGAUUCAAGGGUUUUAGGUUGAGAAGAAUGGGGAGAUGCUGCAAUGGUGAGUGCACAUCUGUAGGUACUGUUGCUUCCAGGGAUUUCAUGGGUUAAUGUUGAGACUGUUAAGGAGAACAUGGAAGUCAGGUGGAAUGAAUAGCUUGGAGCAGUGAUUGCUGGAAGGAGUUUGUUGAUAAUUGUGCUGCUUCCAUGAUCGAUAAGGAGGUGCUCGGGAUGAAAGGAGUUCAGUGAUGGAAGCUCGAUAGUUUUUGGCAGUAAAUGGCAGUAAAUAAGAUAUGAUGACGAGAAGCUGAUGGCAGCGAUGAAGGAGUGAAUUACCUGGCUGAGUUUGUGGUUUGAUUGUUUGUUGCCAAUAAUGAGAAUGUUGGCAAUGAUGGAAAAGGCAUUGAAGUGUGCUGCAAAGUUGUGAGCUGUUGGUUCGAUACAGCUGAGAUGGUUGGUAUUGGUGCUUGCUGCCAGGGAAGAGAUGGCUCGAGUAUGGUGAUGUGCAUUGCAGUACUACUUAAUUGUGCUGCAGGAAGAACCGAAGAUGCAGCUGUUAGGAGUCCAAGUGCAGCUGAGUUCGAUGGCAAUCUAAGAAGUGUAUGCUGCUGAUGCAUAUGGAAAAGUAGUCGCAACUGCAAUUUCUGGAGGCAGUAUUGCAGUUGAGGAGCUGAAGCUGCAGGCGUUUGAAUGGUAGUUUCAGAUGGCUAGGCCAUAGAAGUCUGGUGUUGUUAUACAGGGAAGUGGUGAUGUGAAUGAGAAUAGAUGAAUGCUAGGAUUGAGUUGUGCAGGGAAGAGCCGAAAUUUGGCUAGGAAAGCAAUCAAAAACAGCUGGGACUCUAGUGGAUUUUCUUGCAACUGAGUCGACUCAGUGAUUACCGAUCCAACUCAGAUGGACUUGGACCUGUUGGGCUUGACUUAUGGGCUGUUGCAGGGACUGAUUUUGGCAGAAGGGAGAAACAUACUUUUGGACGUAAAGGCAGAGACGGCAUAUAAAAAGGACAGAGUUUUUCUCCAACUUGGGGGAUAUCUCCAUGAGGAUCUAUUAUCUUUAUCUACUACUUUUGCCUAGGGUUUAUAAAGAUGAUAGGUUUUCUUUUCGUUCUUGUUAUGAAUUCCACUCACAUGUUUAGAUAAUUCUCUUUUGGUUAAGGAAUAAGUUGGAGUUCCAACCAUGAUAUUUAUGCAAUGAAUUAGUUUUGUCUUCA